UCUAAGGUGGCUCAGUGGGUAAAGAACCUGCCUGCAAUGCAGGAGACGUGGGUUUCAUCCCUCAGUUGGAA
rnacentral:tRNA from 1 species